rnacentral:rRNA from 1 species
UACGUAGGUCCCGAGCGUUGUCCGGAUUUAUUGGGCGUAAAGCGAGCGCAGGUGGUUUAUUAAGUCUGGUGUAAAAGGCAGUGGCUCAACCAUUGUAUGCAUUGGAAACUGGUAGACUUGAGUGCAGGAGAGGAGAGUGGAAUUCCAUGUGUAGCGGUGAAAUGCGUAGAUAUAUGGAGGAACACCGGUGGCGAAAGCGGCUCUCUGGACUGUAACUAACACUGAGGCACGAAAGCGUGGGGAGCAAACAGG